AGUAAAAUGCCUGCAAAUAAAGGGUUAUCUUGAUAGGAUAAAUUAUGUAAUAAAAUACUUUUACUA
rnacentral:tRNA from 1 species